rnacentral:rRNA from 1 species
GGUUGUCGUCAGCUCGUGUCGUGAGAUGUUGGGUUAAGUCCCGCAACGAGCGCAACCCUCGCCUCUAGUUGCCAGCAUUCGGUUGGGCACUCUAGAGGGACUGCCGGCGACAAGUCGGAGGAAGGUGGGGAUGACGUCAAAUCAUCAUGCCCCUUAUGACCUGGGCUACACACGUGCUACAAUGGGCGGUACAAAGGGCUGCGAACCCGCGAGGGGGAGCGAAUCCCAAAAAGCCGCUCUCAGUUCGGAUUGCAGGCUGCAACUCGCCUGCAUGAAGCCGGAAUCGCUAGUAAUCGCGGAUCAGCAUGCCGCGGUGAAUACCGUUCCCGGGCCUU